GGCACUAUGGCCGAGUGGUUAAGGCGAUUGACUAGAAUUUGUACUGUUCUGAGCAGUAUAACGCUAUAUCAAUUGGGCUCUGCCCGCACAGGUUCAAGUCCUGUUGGUGUCG